ACUUUUAAUAAUAGAUCUCUUAGUUCUAGUAUCAAUAAAGAACGUAGUAAAAUAUAAUAAGUAGUAUGAAUUAUAGAAUUUAGUAAAUUAUUAAAUCUUUAAAUAUAUAUUAUACUCCUUAGUAUUCUAUAGGGUAUACCUAUUUAAGUAUUAUUUAUACCCUUAAGCAUUGCUUAGUAUUAGGUAUUUGUCCUACUAUUAUGCAUAGACUUACCUUAAAGCAAUUAGUAGCUAAUAAUCUAGUAAUAGAGUAUAGUAUAUUUUAUACUUCUUACUAUAGAUAAUAGCAUCUAUUAAGCCUUUUUUUUAUUCUUGACCUUAGAUUAGGUAGAGAUACCUACUAAACUUAAGCAUAUUAAUAAGUAGAGGAAAAGAAACUAAUAGGGAUUGCCCUAGUAAUAGUAAGUAAAGUAGUAAUAGCUUAAAUUUAAAAUCUAGCUCUUUUAGAGUCUAAGUUAUAAUUUGUAGAAGGUACUUUAGUAUUAGUAGUAGUCUAAGUUCCUUAGAAUAGGACGUUAUAGAGGGUAAGAAUCUUGUAUAUGGUUACUAGUUUUUACUAUAUAAAGCCCCUUUAAUAAGUUAAGUUGUUUAGGAAUAUAGCUCUAAAUAAGAGGUAAAUUUCUUCUAAAGCUAAAUACUAGCUAGAGACUAAUAGUACACAAGUAGAGUAAUUAAAAGAUGAAAAGUACUUUAGAAAGAGAGUUAAAUAGUACAUAAAAUUAUUAAAAGGGAAGUACUUACAGCUAGACUUGCCUAUAAUUACUUAUCUAGGCUUUUACCUAGUACAUUCUUCUAUAGGUAGGCUAGCAUUAGUUUAGGUAGUUAGAUAAAGGUCUCUAUUAUAUACCUCCUUUUAGGGAGGCCUUAUAGGAGAGGCAAUAUGUAACUAGCCUAGACUAAGGUCUAUGCAUCUGCUAGGAUGCUAGUGUAAUAGCUAUAAGUAGCCUAUCUUAAAAUAUAGACUAAGGAGUCUAACAUCUAUAUAAGUAUUUAAGUAUCAAGCCUAAGUAUAUAAUAAAAGUAAAUAGAGGUAGGAUCCCUUUAGAGUAUACUAUUAAUUAAUCCUAAUAUCUUUAGAUAGAUUUAAGUAAGAGUAUAGCUAUUAGGACCUAAAAGAUGGUAAACUAUAUUUAAAUAGGGUAAAGCUAGAGGAAACUCUAGUAGAGGCUCGUAGUAGUUCUAAUAUAUAAAUUGAUUAUUAAAUUUAGGUAUAAGGAUAAAAGACUAAUUAAACUAUCUAGUAGUUAGUUCCUACUGAAGUUUCCCUUAGGAUAGUAGUAAUGUAUUUAGUUUUAUAAGGUAAAGUAAAUAAUUAGAGGCCUAGGGGUUGAAAUAACCUUUACCUAUUCUUAAACUUUAAAUAUAUAAGAAGUCCUUAUUACUUAAUUAAAUGUAGAUACUUAAAUAUACUAUUACUAGUAGGCUAUUUUUAGUAAGUAGAACUAGUAAUGCAGGAUGAACUGAAUGCAAGGUUAAGGUACUAGAAUAUAUACUUAUUAGAUAUUAUAAAAGGUAUUAGUUUAUCUAGAUAGUAGGAUAGUAGCUAUAGAAGUUAGAAUCUACUAAGGAGUAUAUAAUAACUUACCUACUAAAUAAACUAGCCCUAAAAAUAGAUAGUACUUAAGUAUAUUACCUAUACCUUACUACUAAGGUAAGAUUUAAGCCCUAGUGAGUAGGUAGGCGUAGAGGCUCAUAAUAAAGUCUUAGAGGUAACCCUAAGUAGAAUAGCCUCUAGUAUAGAUCUUAGUAGUAGUAGUAAAUACUUAAAUAAGAACUUUAAGGACUAAAGUAGGGAAAGGUUCUAUAUAAAUAGUAGUUAGACAUGGGUUAGUUGAUCUUAAGAGAUAGGGUAAUUUUAUUUUAAUAUUGGUGCUUAUACUAUGCCCUUAAAAAGGAAGCUAGUUAAUAUUCUAGCACCUAGAUAUAGAUUCUCUAUAGUAACAUAACUAAGAGUAGAGACCUUAGUAGGAGCCUUAAGAAGAGUUCUCUUUUCUUCUUAAUAGUCUAUUACUCUAAAAUUAGUUUAUCUAGAGCUAGGGUUUAAUAGUUAGAAGAGUGCUAUACUUUUAUAGUAUUUAGUAUGCUCCUAAUGAGCCUUAAAAAUCUACUUAAAGAAAUAGUUUUUAUACUAGGUUGUACUUAUAACUAUAGUAGGUCUCUAAGGUAAAAAGCUUCUAGUUAAUAGAAUAAUAUAGAUAAAGGAAGUUAGUAAAAUAGAUCUAUAACUUUAGGAAAAGGAUUAGCUCUAAGGGUUAGGUAUAUUAGGCCUUAGGGAGAAGCCUCUAGCAUAGAAGGGUACUAGCUGCAAGGUAGGUGCCUUUUAGUAUUAGGGUGUAGGUACCCUUAGUAGGCUUUAGCUAUCUAGCGUACGUUUAACAACUAACUUAGAACUAGUAUAGAUAAGGAGAAUCUAACUAUCUAAUUAAAAUAUAGCAUUAUAAUAGCUAGAAAGUAGUAUUGACGUAAUAUAAUUUCUACCUAGUACUCUAAAUGUCAAAGUAAAGAGAUUUAACUAAGUAUAGGUAAAUAGUAGGAGUAACUAUAACUCUUUUAAGGUAGCUAAAUGCCUCAUUAUCUAAUUAGUAAUGUAUAUAAAUAGAUUAAUAAGAUUCCUACUAUCUCUAUCUACUAUCUAGUAAAACUAUAGCUAAAGGAAUAGGCUUAGCUAAAUUAGUAGGGAAAGAAGACCCUAUUAAGCUUGACUCUAGUUUGAUAUUAUAAAAAGACAUAGGGGGUAUAGAAUAGGUAAGAGCUUUAGUAUUAGUAAAAUACUACUACCCUUAUUAUUUUUUUACUUAUUUAAUAAAGUAGAGCUAGGCUUUACUACCUAACUUCUAGCAUUAAGGUCUUUCGUAGGCUAAUCUAGGUUAAAGACAUUGUUAGGUAAGGAGUUUAGCUAGGGUAGUAUAUCUAUUAAAUUAUAAUGUAGGUGUCCUAAGGGGGACUUAUAGAGAAUAGAAAUCUCUAGUAGAGUAAAAAGGUAAAAGUCUCCUUGAUUUUAAUUUUUAGUAUAAAUAUAAACUAUAAAAGUAUAGCCUAUUAAUACUUUAGUCCUUUAAAAUUUAAGGCUAGAGGUGCUAGAAAAGUUACUAUAGGGAUAACUAGCUUGUAGUAGCUAAGUAUUUAUAGUAAUAUUACUUUUUAAUCCUUUAAUGUUAGCUCUUCUUAUUAUACUAAAGUAGAAUUUAGUAAGCAUUAGAUUAUUUACCUACUAAUAAGGAACGUGAGCUAGGUUUAGACUAUUAUAAGAUAGGUUAGUUUUACCCUACUAAUGACCUUACCCUAAUAGUAAUACUACUUAGUAUAAGAAGAACUAUAGUUUUAGAUAAUUAGUUUUUGUAGCUAUCUAACUAGGCAUUACUAUAAAGCUACUAUCUACUAGAUUAUAGCUAAAUGCCUCUAAGUUAGAAUCUAUACUAGAAUAGGGUAAUUUCUACCUAUACUAGUUAGAUAUGAAUAGGCCUUUAGCCUAAAACCUUACUAGGCUAGUAUUAGUAGUCUCAUUAAAAUUAGGGCUGUUAGCUAGUAUAUUAUAAUUAUAUAGUAUGUAGGAUUAAAUCCUUUAUAGAUGACUUAGUUGUCUAGCUAGGUUGU
rnacentral:rRNA from 1 species